UACGUAGGGAGCAAGCGUUGUCCGGAUUCACUGGGUGUAAAGGGUGCGCAGGCGGAUUCGUAAGUCAGAGGGGAAAUCUCACGGCUUAACCGUGAAACUGCCUUUGAUACUGCAGAUCUUGAGUUUGGGAGAGGUUGAUGGAAUUCCAGGUGUAGCGGUGAAAUGCGUAGAUAUCUGGAAGAACACCAGUGGCGAAGGCGGUCAACUGGCCCAUAACCGACGCUCAGGCACGAAAGCGUGGGGAUCAAACAGG
rnacentral:rRNA from 1 species